AAUAAAUUACAACAGCAUAGUAUAAAACUUUAAUAAUUUUUUCAUUGAAACUCAAAACAACAUCCAAUAUAAAAAAAAAAAUUCUCUUAAUAUAAAUUAGUAAAAACUAAAAAAUAUUUUAUCAAAAAAAAUAAUACUAAAAAUACUAAAUUAUAGAAAAUAUUAGACAUGGUUUGUCUUCUUAAUUAGAAGUUCAUUUAACAUUGGUUUCAACUAAACAUGAAAUGGUUCGAUAUCAAGGAGUACAGUAAUAUCUAUUAACAAUGCACUAUUAUAAAACAAAUGGAGUGCCAUAAUAUAUCUAUUAACUCCAAGAAAACUAAGAUCAAAUGUCGUUUUCUUUAUGGAGCAUUUUAUUCCCUGUUGAUCUAUCUUGCUG
rnacentral:lncRNA from 1 species